CGCCUCUUGCUUUAAAAGAAUAAGAGGUCCUGCCUGCCCAGUGACUAAGUUUAACGGCCGCGGUAUUUUAACCGUGCAAAGGUAGCGCAAUCACUUGUUCCUUAAAUGGGGACCUGUAUGAAUGGCAAGACGAGGGCUAGACUGUCUCUUUUUUCCAGUCAAUGAAAUUGAUCUCCCCGUGCAGAAGCGGGGAUCCCUACAUAAGACGAGAAGACCCUAUGGAGCUUUAGACACAGGAGGCUAGAUCUUGUCAAAUCUCUCAAACAAAAGACUGAACCUAUAGAAUUCUCCUCACAUGUCUUCGGUUGGGGCGACCGAGGGGACAAAAAUAACCCCCAUGCGGAACAGGAAGACUACCUUCUUAAAAGAAGAGCCACUGCUCUAGCCAACAGAAAUUCUGACCAAAAGAUCCGGCAAAGCCGAUCAACGAACCAAGUUACCCUAGGGAUAACAGCGCAAUCCUCUUCUAGAGACCAUAUCGACAAGGGGGUUUACGACCUCGAUGUUGGAUCAGGACAUCCUAAUGGUGCAGACGCUAUUAAGGGUUCGUUUGUUCAACGAUUAAAGUCCU
rnacentral:rRNA from 1 species